GACGAACCGUGCGAACGUUAUUCGGAAUCACUGGGCUUAAAGCGCGUGUAGGCGGGCCGGCACGUCUGUCGCUGAAAUCCCCCGGCUUAACCGGGGAACUGGCGGAGAUACGACCGUCCUGGAGGGGCGUAGGGGGACCUGGAACUUCCGGUGGAGCGGUGAAAUGCGUUGAGAUCGGAAGGAACGCCCGUGGCGAAAGCGAGGUCCUGGACGCCUACUGACGCUGAGGAGCGAAAGCGUGGGGAGCGAACAGG
rnacentral:rRNA from 1 species